rnacentral:lncRNA from 1 species
GCUGCUGCCCAAGGACCGCGGAGUCGGACGCAGGUAGGAGAGCGGCCGCGCAGACCUCUCGCCUGCUCCUGCCCAGGGGCCCGCCAGGGCCAUGUGAGCUUGAGGUUCCCCUGGAGUCUCAGCCGGAGACAACAGAAGAACCGCUUACUGAAACUCCUUGGGGGUUCUGAUACACUAGGGGGAGUUUUAUGGGAAAGAGGAAGCAGUAAUUGCAGUGACGCCCCGUUAGAAGGGGCUUUCUACCUCCCCAGCAUUCCCCCAAAGCAGGGACCACACCAUUCUUGACCCAGCUCCACCCCUGUCGGGUAAACAGGAGGGGCCACAUGCACAGGUAAUUCACCAGGGAGCCGAACACUCCUGUGCAGACAGACUCCCCUUCCCAGCAAGCCAUGGCAGCGGACAGCCUGCUGAGAACACCCAGGAAGCAGGCGGUGCCAGCUGCAGGCAGACCAUGUGGACCCUGGUGAGCUGGGUGGCCUUAACAGCAGGGCUGGUGGCUGGAACGCGGUGCCCAGAUGGUCAGUUCUGCCCUGUGGCCUGCUGCCUGGACCCCGGAGGAGCC